rnacentral:snoRNA from 14 species
ACCUGCACUUCGCUCGUCUCGCUCCCUUCCUCGUGAGCGUGUGGACGAUGGAUGGUGAAGGGAGA